ensembl:snRNA U6 U6 spliceosomal RNA
AUGCUCAUCUCAGCAAUACAUAUACUAAAAUUGGAAUAACACAGAGAUUAGCAAAGCCCUUACACAAGGAUGGCUUGAAUAUUCAUGAAGUAAAACAAGAAAAA